rnacentral:rRNA from 1 species
CCCCCCAACUUCCUCAAACCCACCACCCGUACUGAAUGAUUUCAUAAAUUAUGAAAACCACCAUGCUAGAACUAGUAACAAGAAAUUGAAUUUCUCCAAAGUGUAAACAUAAGACAAAAUGGACAACCCACUGGCACUUAACGACACUGAACUCACUAUAGUAACUCACCUAGAAAACCCUAUACCCUACAACCUACAUCGUUACCCUUACACAAGAACACUACUGGAAAGAUUAAAAGGAAGAGAAGGAACUCGGCAAACUCUAGCCCCGCCUGUUUACCAAAAACAUCGCCUCUUGCUUAAACAUAGGAGGUCCAGCCUGCCCAGUGAUCUGAUUCAACGGCCGCGUGAUUUAAGCGCGCAAAGGUAGCAUAAUCACUUGUUCUUUAAAUGGGGACUUGUAUCAACGGCACCACGAGGGCUACACUGUCUCCUUUCCCCAAUCAGUGAAACUAAUCUCCUUGUGAAAAAGCAAGGAUAUGCUUAUAAGACGAGAAGACCCCACGGAGCUUAAAACACAACAGCACCUGGGAUAACACACACCUAUUCAUUCAUCAAGCCCUGUCUGUCAGUUUUAGGUUGGGGCGACCGCGGAGUAAAAACCCCCCUCCACGACGAAAGAGGCUAUACUCUAAUCUAAGAGACACAUCUCCAAGAAUCAUCUACAUGACGUCCAGUGACCCGACUAUCGAUCAACGAACCAAGUUACCCUGGGGAUAACAGCGCAAUCCACUCUGAGAGCUCAUAUCGACAAGUGGGCUUACGACCUCGAUGUUGGAUCAGGGUAUCCCAGUGGUGCAGCCGCUACUAAAGG